rnacentral:rRNA from 1 species
GACGAACGCUGGCGGCGUGCUUAACACAUGCAAGUCGAACGGAAAGGCCCUGCUUUUGUGGGGUGCUCGAGUGGCGAACGGGUGAGUAACACGUGAGUAACCUGCCCUUGACUUUGGGAUAACUUUAGGAAACUGGGGCUAAUACCGAUAGGAGCUCCUGCUGCAUGGUGGGGGUUGGAAAGUUUCGGCGGUUGGGGAUGGACUCGCGGCUUAUCAGCUUGUUGGUGGGGUAGUGGCUUACCAAGGCUUUGACGGGUAGCCGGCCUGAGAGGGUGACCGGCCACAUUGGGACUGAGAUACGGCCCAGACUCCUACGGGAGGCAGCAGUGGGGAAUAUUGCACAAUGGGCGGAAGCCUGAUGCAGCAACGCCGCGUGCGGGAUGACGGCCUUCGGGUUGUAAACCGCUUUCGCCUGUGACGAAGCGUGAGUGACGGUAAUGGGUAAAGAAGCACCGGCUAACUACGUG